rnacentral:tRNA from 1 species
AAUAAAGUAAGCUAAUAUUAAAGCUAAUGGGCUCAUACCCCACUGAUAGAGGUACUCUCUUUAUUA